rnacentral:lncRNA from 1 species
UUCAUUUCAAAACAUUUCAUAUCCCACUGCUUUGCUUCCCUGCUCCUCUCUCUCUCUCUCUCUGGCGAUUCCAGAUCUAGAUCUAGGGUUUGUCUCCAAGGCGAUUUAAGAUCUAGCCUUUCUCAUUGACACCAGAUCGAGGAUCUUCAAGGUGGGUUUAUGGCAUCUUCAAGGUGAGUUUUGCCAUCACCAAUCUCCAAAGAAUCAAGCAAUCUGACCCAGGGUUCCAACUAAUGACGAAGGUCGACAAAUUAGAGUUUUGACUACCGAUCUACUUCUACAUGUAUGCUCUGCAGACUAUCAAGGGUUUUGAGGUUACAUGAUUAACAGAGGUGAAGAUGGAGUCACGAGUUAACAGAGGUGAAGAUGGAGUUGAAGGGGUUCUUCUACAUCACAGGACUUUCACACCUUUUGUUGGGCAUAAUUAGCCUUAUGGUCGAGUUUACUAUGAAGGAUUUUAAGAUUCCACGGAACCUGCAUUAAAGUUAGACUUCAUGCGACUUUUGAGCUGUUUGGUCCAUUCAACCAGUUUGAUUGGUUUACUCUUACCCAAAUUCAAAAUCAAGAUAGAACAUAACCCAAACUGACCCACUUGUAAAUAACAAUGGCAACCGGACUGGAAUCAAAACUUCGUUAUGCAUCAGUUCAUAUUCUGUCUGAUACCAUGGAAGCUGCAAGAAAACCGUCUGCUGCUGCUAUUGUUGGGGUUGCUCAUAGUUGUUAAAAGCCAUCGCCUCUUGCGCCUAGGCCCAUUUUUCAGGCGAGGCGAGGUAGUUGCGCCUUAAGUCGAGGAAAUUGCGCUUUAAUUCUCUAGGUGAUGCACAUUCCGGCGAGAUUCCUAGGCUUAAAAUUUAGAGCCUUCCGUUGAAAAGAAUCGUUUUGAAAGAAAUUGGGGGGCAUGAAGGCGUUUGACGGUUCCUUAAAACACGUCAUAUCGUUCCAUUUGAGUUUUUAGUAAUCAACAUUGACCAAGUAAUUUUGUAGCUGUUGGCUUUCUUUGUUACUGUGCAAUCUGGAGAUUGCUAAUGGGCUUCAGCCGUGGUUGGAUCAUCUCAUUUUUAAUAAUCUAGCAACUAAAUACUAAUGUCAUGGCAUUCAUUAGUGUUGUUUGUUACAUUUGUUUUUAACUGUUAUCAUUAAGUAGACAGUAGGCAAUACCAAUAUUGCUCAUGUCAUAGGACAAACCUAUGGUUUAGGACCAAUUUGACCGUUUGCUCUGUUAGAUUUAAAAAAGUUUUUGUGUUUUUAAACGGGUUUUCAAUUAAACUUUUUCUGUUUAU